AGCGAACGCUGGCGGCAGGCUUAACACAUGCAAGUCGAGCGCCCCGCAAGGGAGCGGCAGACGGGUGAGUAACACGUGGGAACGUACCCUUCGGUUCGGAACAACCCAGGGAAACUUGGGCUAAUACCGAAUACGUCCGUAAGGAGAAAGAUUUAUCGCCGAGGGAUCGGCCCGCGUCUGAUUAGCUAGUUGGUGGGGUAAUGGCCCACCAAGGCGACGAUCAGUAGCUGGUCUGAGAGGAUGAUCAGCCACACUGGGACUGAGACACGGCCCAGACUCCUACGGGAGGCAGCAGUGGGGAAUAUUGGACAAUGGGCGCAAGCCUGAUCCAGCCAUGCCGCGUGAGUGAUGAAGGCCUUAGGGUUGUAAAGCUCUUUCGGCGGGAAGAUAAUGACGGUACCCGCAGAAGAAGCCCCGGCUAACUUCGUGCCAGCAGCCGC
rnacentral:rRNA from 1 species